rnacentral:rRNA from 1 species
UACAGAGGGUGCAAGCGUUAAUCGGAAUUACUGGGCGUAAAGCGUGCGUAGACGGUUGCGUAAGUCAGAUGUGAAAGCCCCGGGCUCAACCUGGGAAUUGCAUUUGAGACUGCGUAGCUAGGGUGCGGAAGAGGGAAGCGGAAUUUCCGGUGUAGCGGUGAAAUGCGUAGAUAUCGGAAGGAACACCGGUGGCGAAGGCGAGUCCCAGGACAACACCUGACACUGAGGCACGAAAGCUAGGGGAGCAAACAGG